rnacentral:rRNA from 1 species
CUCACCAUAGCAAUGAUGUCUAGGGGUUUUGAGAGGAAGGCCCCCCACACUGGGACUGAGACACGGCCCAGACUCCUACGGGAGGCAGCAGUGAGGAAUAUUGGACAAUGGAUGGAAAUCUGAUCCAGCCAUGCCGCGUGCAGGAAGACGGCCUUAUGGGUUGUAAACUGCUUUUAUACGGGAGCAAUAAGGGUUACGAGUAAUCCGAUGAGAGUACUGUAUGAAUAAGGAUCGGCUAACUCCGUGCCAGCAGCCGCGGUAAUACGGAGGAUCCGAGCGUUAUCCGGAAUUAUUGGGUUUAGAGGGUGCGUAGGCGGCCAUUUAAGUCAGCGGUGAAAUUUUGCAGCUUAACUGUAACAGUGCCGUUGAUACUGUUUGGCUAGGAUUUGGUUGUAGUGUGCGGAAUGUGUGGUGUAGCGGUGAAAUGCUUAGAUAUCACACAGAACACCGAUUGCGAAGGCAGCACACUAAGUCAUUAUUGACGCUGAGGCACGAAAGUGUGGGGAUCAAACAGGAUUAGAUACCCUGGUAGUCCACACUGUAAACGAUGAUAACUCGCUGUCGGCGAUACACAGUCGGU